UACGGAGGGUGCGAGCGUUGUCCGGAAUCACUGGGCGUAAAGGGCGCGUAGGCGGCCUGAUAAGUAAGGGGUGAAAGUCCUGCGGCUUAACCGCCAGGGCUGCCUUCUAAACUGUCAGGCUUGAGCACAGUAGAGGCAGGUGGAAUUCCCGGUGUAGCGGUGGAAUGCGUAGAGAUCGGGAAGAACAUCAGUGGCGAAGGCGGCCUGCUGGGCUGUUGCUGACGCUGAGGCGACGACAGGCGUGGGGAGCAAACAGG
rnacentral:rRNA from 1 species